UCCACCUACGGGGCGCAGCAGUGGGGGAUAUUGCACAAUGGGGGGAACCCUGAUGCAGCGACGCCGCGUGGGUGAAGGAGCGUUUCGGCGCGUAAAGCCCUAUCGGCAGGGAAGAAGAUGACGGUACCUGACCAAGAAGCCCCGGCUAACUACGUGCCAGCAGUCGCGGUAAUACGUAGGGGGCAAGCGUUAUCCGGAUUUACUGGGUGUAAAGGGAGCGUAGACGGCAGAGCAAGUCUGAAGUGAAAGCCCGCGGCCCAGCUGCGGGACUGCUUUGGAA
rnacentral:rRNA from 1 species